UAGAUUGAAGUUUCAGGUGGAGUGCAAGAUGAAAAAUAUGCCAAAUUACAUGCAUGCAACCCAUUUAUGCCAUUUUUCUCUUUGUUUGUAGGCCUGACCAUUUGUCCUUGAGCCGCAGAUGGUCAACAAUCCGCUAGCUGUCUUGCUCUGACUGGUGCACUGGACAUGAUUUCAAUAGUCAGCCAGACCAUGAUUGAGCUUAAGGAUUGUGCUGCGGAUGCGGCCUGUGCAGUUCCGGGAGAAAGUCACUGUCUUGGGCAAUGCGGUCUGGUAUCAGGUCUGGAUGAUCCUUGCCUGACUGCGGGUUUGUGUACACCUCAAUCCGACUCGGUGUCCUGAACAGAGGCCUCAGUGGUGCAGCGCUUGUGGACGAUCCAUCAACAUCCUGAAAGGUCAACACUUCACCAAGCUGGGAAAAUUGAUCCCGAUACUCAUCCCCAGGUAGUGGAAUGAAUGUACACUGAACUACAGAGGAAUCACACCCAAAUGACUUUCCUGCCACGACAUUAGUGUGGCCGCUCGCGUAGGAAUUCCUUAGCAAACAUGCUCUUUUGCAUGGUGACUGUGGGCAUUUUUGCAAAACUUAAGCUUUCAACACUGGAUUUUAAAGAGAAUACUUAAUAAAAUGUCGCUAACAGGACUUAUUUUUAUAAAAGAGACUAUCUGGAUGCGCAACAAGUGUCACUUUGUGUCGUAAGCUGUUGAAGGAGCGAUUUGCGCCUUUUUAAGUGUUAAUUUUGGGUAGCAGGCUUGUAUCGGCUUGAAAGCUGCAAAUUAUGCCUCUGAUCAUAAUAGCAUUAAUUUGUGUAAUUGCAAUGUGUAUGUUUUGAUUGUAAGUGAAGCUUUUAAUAAUAAUUUUUUUGAAAAACAUGAUUUUAUAUGCUGUCAGUGAGUUUUUUAUUGAAAAAAGUGCUUAAAAUUAAAAAAAAGUCUCCUUUUUCAUCAAGAAAAGUACACUGAUUCACAAUCAAUACAUUUAUUUGGGCCUUUUGCUGAUAUAUUGGUGACUUUCGCAUGCAAUGAUACCAGUUUUUGCCAUAAAAGUUACGCGUAACAAUAAUAGGAGACACAAAAUCAGCUGUCGUCACUUAGACUAAAAAUCAUGCAUUCCGACUCGACUGCGGCCAAUUUAGUCACCGCUUUAAAUGGCCAUAUUAAGGCCUUUACCCCCAUCCGUAUGCACUGAAAUUGCAUAUUCAUGGUGGAAAUAGUUCAAAUCUCAUGUGGAGAAAGUUUGAAAAGGAUAGGACAAAGUUGAGUUCCCUUAAAGGUUACAUUACACUAAAUCAUUGUGUAUCCCUCCGUGGUCCAUUCGAAAGUAGUGCCUAUUCCUAAAGAGUUCCUUUUCUCUUCUUGAAUAUAAGCCAUUUAACAAUGUGAGACAUGUCUUUUGUGGUUAUUUGUAAUAUCCUGUAUGUGUCUGGAGUACUUUGAUGCCUUGGAUUGGAAGCUAACUUAAAAGAUGAACUUUUGAGGGUGUGUUUUCUAUUGUGUGGGGCUUUUGUCGAAAUUAGGAUUCCGAAACACGUUUUUCUACGGUGGGUUCAUUCGACAGCGAUUUACUUUCUUAGAAGUUGCGAGACGGUAUGUUUUUGAUUGCAAGUAUUGGAAGAUGACAGAUCCAUCUUUAAAAUGAUACCAGGUUCGGAAAAAUUGAUACGUCGAAAAGGCAAGAAAAAUGCUGUGAAAGUUGUCAGUUUUAUAAUGGGACCCUAUGGGAAUCGGAAUUAGUGUAAUAUAACCUUUAAAAAGCACAUUUACUGCAAUGUCAAGGUCACAUGGAUUCGUCUGCAAGCGAGACAAGUAGAAAAUGAAUUUUAAUGAAUGUUUUGAUGAUUUGGGUGCUAAAAUAGAUGAGAGAUGUCAAUAUUUUGGUCUAAAUGGAUGUUUUAGGUGGUUUUGGACUGUUCCGGAUGGGUGGGGGACCUGGUAUGGACACGCCUGACCAUUUGUCCUUGAGCCGCAGAUGGUCAACAAUCCGCUAGCUGUCUUGCUCUGACUGGUGCACUGGACAUGAUUUCAAUAGUCAGCCAGACCAUGAUUGAGCUUAAGGAUUGUGCUGCGGAUGCGGCCUGUGCAGUUCCGGGAGAAAGUCACUGUCUUGGGCAAUGCGGUCUGGUAUCAGGUCUGGAUGAUCCUUGCCUGACUGCGGGUUUGUGUACACCUCAAUCCGACUCGGUGUCCUGAACAGAGGCCUCAGUGGUGCAGCGCUUGUGGACGAUCCAUCAACAUCCUGAAAGGUCAACACUUCACCAAGCUGGGAAAAUUGAUCCCGAUACUCAUCCCCAGGCCUGACCAUUUGUCCUUGAGCCGCAGAUGGUCAACAAUCCGCUAGCUGUCUUGCUCUGACUGGUGCACUGGACAUGAUUUCAAUAGUCAGCCAGACCAUGAUUGAGCUUAAGGAUUGUGCUGCGGAUGCGGCCUGUGCAGUUCCGGGAGAAAGUCACUGUCUUGGGCAAUGCGGUCUGGUAUCAGGUCUGGAUGAUCCUUGCCUGACUGCGGGUUUGUGUACACCUCAAUCCGACUCGGUGUCCUGAACAGAGGCCUCAGUGGUGCAGCGCUUGUGGACGAUCCAUCAACAUCCUGAAAGGUCAACACUUCACCAAGCUGGGAAAAUUGAUCCCGAUACUCAUCCCCAGGUAGUGGAAUGAAUGUACACUGAACUACAGAGGAAUCACACCCAAAUGACUUUCCUGCCACGACAUUAGUGUGGCCGCUCGCGUAGGAAUUCCUUAGCAAACAUGCUCUUUUGCAUGGUGACUGUGGGCAUUUUUGCAAAACUUAAGCUUUCAACACUGGAUUUUAAAGAGAAUACUUAAUAAAAUGUCGCUAACAGGACUUAUUUUUAUAAAAGAGACUAUCUGGAUGCGCAACAAGUGUCACUUUGUGUCGUAAGCUGUUGAAGGAGCGAUUUGCGCCUUUUUAAGUGUUAAUUUUGGGUAGCAGGCUUGUAUCGGCUUGAAAGCUGCAAAUUAUGCCUCUGAUCAUAAUAGCAUUAAUUUGUGUAAUUGCAAUGUGUAUGUUUUGAUUGUAAGUGAAGCUUUUAAUAAUAAUUUUUUUGAAAAACAUGAUUUUAUAUGCUGUCAGUGAGUUUUUUAUUGAAAAAAGUGCUUAAAAUUAAAAAAAAGUCUCCUUUUUCAUCAAGAAAAGUACACUGAUUCACAAUCAAUACAUUUAUUUGGGCCUUUUGCUGAUAUAUUGGUGACUUUCGCAUGCAAUGAUACCAGUUUUUGCCAUAAAAGUUACGCGUAACAAUAAUAGGAGACACAAAAUCAGCUGUCGUCACUUAGACUAAAAAUCAUGCAUUCCGACUCGACUGCGGCCAAUUUAGUCACCGCUUUAAAUGGCCAUAUUAAGGCCUUUACCCCCAUCCGUAUGCACUGAAAUUGCAUAUUCAUGGUGGAAAUAGUUCAAAUCUCAUGUGGAGAAAGUUUGAAAAGGAUAGGACAAAGUUGAGUUCCCUUAAAGGUUACAUUACACUAAAUCAUUGUGUAUCCCUCCGUGGUCCAUUCGAAAGUAGUGCCUAUUCCUAAAGAGUUCCUUUUCUCUUCUUGAAUAUAAGCCAUUUAACAAUGUGAGACAUGUCUUUUGUGGUUAUUUGUAAUAUCCUGUAUGUGUCUGGAGUACUUUGAUGCCUUGGAUUGGAAGCUAACUUAAAAGAUGAACUUUUGAGGGUGUGUUUUCUAUUGUGUGGGGCUUUUGUCGAAAUUAGGAUUCCGAAACACGUUUUUCUACGGUGGGUUCAUUCGACAGCGAUUUACUUUCUUAGAAGUUGCGAGACGGUAUGUUUUUGAUUGCAAGUAUUGGAAGAUGACAGAUCCAUCUUUAAAAUGAUACCAGGUUCGGAAAAAUUGAUACGUCGAAAAGGCAAGAAAAAUGCUGUGAAAGUUGUCAGUUUUAUAAUGGGACCCUAUGGGAAUCGGA